rnacentral:tRNA from 1 species
GGAGAGGUGCGAGAGUGGCCGAAUCGGCGCGAUUGGAAAUCGCGUGUGGGGAGACUCACCGUGGGUUCGAAUCCCACCCUCUCCGCCA